rnacentral:rRNA from 1 species
UACGAAGGGGGCUAGCGUUGCUCGGAAUCACUGGGCGUAAAGCGCACGAAGGCGGCUUUUUAAGUCAGGGGUGAAAUCCUGGAGCUCAACUCCAGAACUGCCUUUGAUACUGAGAAGCUUGAGUCCGGGAGAGGUGAGUGGAACUGCGAGUGUAGAGGUGAAAUUCGUAGAUAUUCGCAAGAACACCAGUGGCGAAGGCGGCUCACUGGCCCGAUACUGACGCUGAGGCACGAAAGCGUGGGGAGCAAACAGG